CUUGUGACUGGACACCAUGCCUCUUCCAGAAACCAUGUUCUGUGCUCAGCAGAUCAAAAUCCCCCCGGAGCUACCCGAUAUUCUGAAGCAAUUUACUAAAGCUGCUAUCAGGACUCAGCCUUUUGAUGUUUUGCAGUGGGCAGCUGCGUAUUUUUCAGCCUUAUCUAAAGGUGAACCCCUUCCUGUGAAGGAGAGGCUUGAAAUGCCAUUAGCAACAGAGAAAAAAGAUGCUGGUUUGACCCCAGGACUCCUUAAGGUCUUGCACAAACAGCUUUCUUCCAAAGGCAUGGUGGCCAUUGCAGAACUGAGGGAAAAAUGGAAGCAUUUGGGCUUGCCAGAGGAGCAGCUGGAAGCUAUCCUGCAGUUGGACAGUUUUGGCGAGGAGGUGGAAUGGAUGAAGUUUCUGGCACUUGGGUGCAGCGUGCUUGGUGGGUCCUUACUGAGUUCAAUGAAGCAGGCCUGUGAGAUCCUAACAAGAGACCCAGAAGGUGGAGCAGCUCGAAUUCCCUUCGAAACAUUCUCGUUCCUUUAUUUGUAUUUGGCCAGUAUUGAUGGAGAGAUAUCAGAGACAGAAACUAAUGCAUUCCUCGAGGAAAUUAAAGAAAAAGCGGAAAAACACUCUGGCAUGGUGCUGAUCAGACACUUCCUGCCAUACUCCUUCAUAUUUUAUUGAUCAACCUUACCAACCCUACUCUUCAGCAUGAGGUAAAGCUACUGCAUUUAUCACACAGAAACAACUGAGAUAUGAAAGAGGAUACUAGAGGCUACAGUAAAACUGGAAAGAUUCCCUUUGACUGAGAAGGCCACAACCAGGAGCAACAUGAAGUGCCCUUUCUUGGCACAUUGAACAAACAGAAGUAUUUUAGGAAAGAUGGAUCUUGUUCUCUUAUAGUUGUUUACUUUGUUGAGGCAAGAAGCUUGGCUGAUGGUGACUGACCUUGCUGAAGUAACUGUGUGAGGAAUUAACAGAACAGUACAUCCUUAAUAUCUACCUGCAUGUUUUAAGUCUGCUUUAGCAACCUCUAUCACAAACACAUGUAUGUUAGUCAACAGGAUGGGAAGUCUUCCUAGUUAUUGCUAAAAGGAAAUGUACCUGCUGUUUGAAUAUGGUAGUCAGCAAUACUCCAAGUGUCCUUGGUGCCUCCCCCAAGCUUCUGUGGAGAGCUACAUUCUCAUCACCUUUGCCAGAUUAUAUUGUUCUGAAUUUUCUUUGCGCAUGAGCUUGGGAACACUAACUUUUGUGUUAUUGUCCAUUUAACACCAGCUGCAGUUGAAGAUGU